rnacentral:rRNA from 1 species
GCCUACGGCCAUACCACCCCGAAAGCGCCCGAUCUCGUCUGAUCUCGGAAGCUAAGCAGGGACGGGCCUGGUUAGUACUUGGAUGGGAGAACGCCUGGGAAAUACUUGGUGCUGUAGGCU